UAGGGCGGCACAGAGGGAAGCCAGGUGGCGACACCGCGCGGAACCCGAAAGCCGUUCUCAGUUCGGAUCGGAGUCUGCAACCCGACUCCGUGAAGCUGGAUUCGCUAGUAAUCGCGCAUCAGCCAUGGCGCGGUGAAUACGUUCCCGGGCCUUGUACACACCGCCCGUCAAGCCAUGGGAGCCGGGGGUGCUUGAAGUGCGUCGCCGCAAGGCGCGCCCUAGAGCAAAACCGGUGACUGGGGCUAAGUCGUAACAAGGUAAC
rnacentral:rRNA from 1 species